GAGGGUGCGAGCGUUACCCGGAUUUACUGGGCGUAAAGGGCGUGUAGGCGGUCUUUCAAGUCCGAUGCUAAAGACUGGGGCUCAACCCCAGGGGUGCGUUGGAUACUGUGAGGCUAGACGGUCGGAGGGGGUAGCGGAAUUUCCGGAGUAGCGGUGAAAUGCGCAGAUACCGGAAGGAACGCCAAUAGCGAAGGCAGCUACCUGGACGACUUGUGACGCUGAGGCGCGAAAGCGUGGGGAGCAAACCGGAUUAGAUACCCGGGUAGUCCACGCCCUAAACCAUGAGUGCUGGGUGUCCGGCUUCUGCUGGGUGCCGUAGCUAACGCGCUAAGCACUCCGCCUGGGAAGUACGCACGCAAGUGUGAAACUCAAAGGAAUUGACGGGGGCCCGCACAAGCGGUGGAGCAUGUGGUUUAAUUCGAAGCGACGCGAAGAACCUUACCAGGCCUUGACAUGCCCGGAACCCCUCUGAAAGGAGGGGGUGCCCGCAAGGGAGCCGGGACACAGGUGCUGCAUGGCCGUCGUCAGCUCGUGUCGUGAGAUGUUGGGUUAAGUCCCGCAACGAGCGCAACCCCUAUCCCUAGUUGCCAGCAGUUCGGCUGGGCACUCUAUGGAGACUGCCUGCGAAAGCAGGAGGAAGGCGGGGAUGACGUCUGGUCCGCAUGGCCCUUACGGCCUGGGCGACACACGUGCUACAAUGCCAAGGACAGAGCGCUGCUACCUCGCGAGAGGACGCCAAUCGCAAAAACCUUGGCUCAGUUCGGAUUGGAGUCUGCAACUCGACUCCAUGAAGCCGGAAUCGCUAGUAAUCGCGAUCAGCCAUGU
rnacentral:rRNA from 1 species